GAAAGACUGGAUCUUGGGCCCCUCCCCCUACACUACUUCCUGUUCUCUUUCAACUGUCUUGAAAUUGUUCUUCUCAGAAAUGAAUACAUCAUGUAAAAUGCCAGAUUGCAUAAAUCAAACGCUGAGAUUGACUGCCAAGAGAAAUGCCAACAAGUUCAAAUAUGAAGAUGAUACCACUGAUGGCAGAAGAAGAAUUAAGAAGGCUCUUGAUGAGGAUUACAAAAGGGGAAAGCUAGCUUGAAGCUUAACAUGAAAGAACUAAGAUCUUGGCAACUGGUCCCAUCACUUCCUGGCAAACAGAAGGAGAAGAAAUGGAAGCAGUGUUGGAUCACUGCAAAUAGUGACUGUAGUCAUGAAAUUAAAAGAUUCUUGCUCUUUGGGGUUUU